AGCGACCAAGCGCAUGCGGUGGAUGCCUUGGCGACCACAGGCGACGAAAGACGUGGCAGCCUGCGAAAAGCUCCGGGGAGCUGGCAAACGAGCACUGAUCCGGAGAUCUCUGAAUGGGGAAACCCACCCGCGAGGGUAUCCCGGACCGAAUCCAUAGGUCCGGGAGGCGAACCCGGGGAACUGAAACAUCUCAGUACCCGGAGGAACAGAAAAUCAACCGAGAUUCCGCCAGUAGCGGCGAGCGAACGCGGAACAGCCACCGGCAGCUAACCGCCGGGUUAGGAGAACGGCCUGGAACGGCCGGCCGCAGCGGGUGACAGCCCCGUAUCCGAAAACCCGACGGCGAGACUAGGGCCGGGACAAGUAAGGCGGGGCACGUGAAACCCUGUCCGAACACGGGGGGACCAUCCUCCAAGGCUAAAAUACUCGUGGUCGACCGAUAGCGAACCAGUACCGUGAGGGAAAGGCGAAAAGAACCCCGGCGAGGGGAGUGAAACAGAACCUGAAACCGCAUGCGUACAAGCAGUCGGAGCCCCUUCGUGGGGUGACGGCGUACCUUUUGUAUAAUGGGUCAGCG
rnacentral:rRNA from 1 species